AAGUCGUAACAAGGUCUCCGUUGGUGAACCAGCGGAGGGAUCAUUACAGAGUGUAAAAACUCCCAACCCAUGUGAACAUACCUCAGUUGCCUCGGCGGCCUACCCCCAUGGGAACCGUCAGAGGACCCACUUAACUCUUGUAAUUUUUGUGGAACUCUGAAUACCAAACUUAAUAGUUAAAACUUUCAACAACGGAUCUCUUGGUUCUGGCAUCGAUGAAGAACGCAGCGAAAUGCGAUAAGUAAUGUGAAUUGCAGAAUUCAGUGAAUCAUCGAAUCUUUGAACGCACAUUGCGCCCAUUAGUAUUCUAUUGGGCAUGCCUGUUCGAGCGUCAUUUCAACCCUCAAGCCCUGUCGCUUGGCGUUGGGAGCCUGCGGAGACGCAGCUCCCCAAAGUUAGUGGCGGAGUCGGCACAGAUUCUAGGCGUAGUAAUUACCACCUCGCCUCUGGGUCAGCGCCGGCGCCCUGCCGUAAAACACCCCAAAUUCUAAAUGGUUGACCUCGGAUCAGGUAGGAAUACCCGCUGAACUUAA
rnacentral:rRNA from 1 species